CCUCAAGCUCUGUUCUUGGAAGAUUCGAUCUUCUAACACAGUUGAUAGCAAAAUGUAGACUAAAGCUUUUUACAUUUCCUUUCUUGAAGCAGAAACAAAAGCAGUUCAGAGCCUUUGUGGAAUAAAGGAGAUCAUGGAAACAGAUGUCUUUGAGCCACAGGCUGCUGUUCGUGUGCUCAGCUACUAUAUUCUGCAUACAGCAUUUCAAACUUUUUCAGAACAACUAACUUAAGGAGGAUUGACUACCUUCAGAAAAGAAUGAUCCCUGAUUAUAAAAAAUGGAUCUUGUCUGUGAAUCAGAAG
rnacentral:lncRNA from 1 species